UGUGCAAGCAAAGAUUAGACGCGGGAUAGAAACAAUAAGCGCAUAAGUUAUAAGGGCUUUCUCCGCGAGUGUGUGUCAGUGCAUAUCCGAACGCGGCAGGUGCGACAUUGUUCAUCGCGACAUCGUGGCUCGCGUUUCCACCGUUCCCACCUUCCCCGCGUGACUUCUUCGAGCGCUUUUCUCAAGUAUCACACUUUCCCAGGGGCUACAUUGUGUAUUACAUCGUUUCUCGCCUCACGAGACAAUUUGUUAAUUAAGAAAAAUUGACAAGGAUGUCUUUCGUUCUGCAUAAUUGGGGAACACCUGAGGACAUGUUCGCGGGAACGGCCUAACAGUCACGUUUCCAUGAAAAGAAUCGCGUCCAUGAGAACAGUCGCGUUUCCAUGAAAAUUAUAUGAUUUUCUUUUAGGAAUUUAUUAUUGUUGAUCCUUCUUAUUUUAUUUAUGAAAUCAAAUUUUUAUCAUCUAUGAUUUUAUAAUUUCCACCCCCCGAACGAUUUUUAAUCAACGUUUUACGACACGCCUGCGAUUCUCCAUGAUGAAAACAGGGAUUCAAAGAUUUAUGGAUUUUUUAAGAAGAUUGAGCGACCCGGGAGAUUUAAUUUCGCGGAGUGAAUUCUCGUUUCACUUCGAUUGAUUUAUCUCGCGCGAGCAUGGGUAAAAUUCUUGAUCAAUUUUCGCGAUUUAUCGUUCGCUUGUUUCCUCCUAUACUCGUUUCCACUGUACUUCCGGUUUGUUUCUCUCCGGCGAGAAGAUUCCCGCUAAUCUGUCAAGCGUUUCCGCCGCUUGUUUCGGACUUUUAAUUUAAUUAGAGCUCACUUCGCCCUCAAUUAGACUGCUACCGCGCGCACGUUCGUGCAACUUUGCAGAGAUACGCGUUGGCUUUAGGAGGAUGUCGGGAAACUUCGAUGAAAGCGUGCGAUGUCUGCCCUUAAGAAAAUUAUAACUUAAUCGAAAUGAAUGGGGAUAAAAGAGAUAUUACCUUCGAUAACGCCGAGAUGCCCUAUCCACGGUGGACCGCUAGGAAAUCUUGGCAGCCUGUCACUAUCAAUGUUCACGUGCACAUCGUCAGCCGCAGCGCGCCCCAUGCGAGAUCGCCCAAGAGCAGCCUGCGCAACGGCAGGCUCGACCCCAUGAAGAUUGACCUGGUGACGCCCGAGAUGCCGACGCCCGUCAUACCACCGUCGGAGACCUUCAACCCGUCCACCGAUAGUCUGCACGCAUCCAUGAAGCCCAUUAUCAUGCUGGCCCAAUGCUUUUCCAUGCUUCCCGUGUGUGGUAUCAACAAACCGGACGCUUCGUAUCUUCGGUUCACGUGGCGCAGCCUGAAGAUCCUGUACACGGCGGUUGUUUUUCUGGGGGUGUUCACCAUGACGGUCUACAACGUCAUACGGAUGUUUUACACAGGGAUCAACUCCACGAAAAUGACCACGUUUGUCUUCUACGUCACGUCCAUGGUGACUGCUAUCCUGUUUGUGCGUCUGGCGAUGCAGUGGCCCUGCUUGGCGCUAACUUGGGAGAAACUUGAACGCGAAUUCACUUCCAGACACCGACAAGUUUCCAAGACCACUCUUAGGACUCGCUUCAAAAUUGUGACUGCUGUUGUCAUGUUGCUCGCGUUGGUGGAGCAUGGUGCAUCUGUGCUCUCUGCGUACAUGAGCGCGAUAGAGUGUGCCGAAUUCCGCGGCGACAAGGAUGUCAUCGGGACUUAUUUCCAAUCGCAAUUUCCGCAGAUUUUCUCGAGUAUGUCCUACAGCCUUUGGAAAGGGAUCAUCGUCGACGUCAUAAAUAUCCUGAGCACAUUUUCGUGGAACUUCGUCGAUCUGUUUCUGAUUCUCAUCAGCAUAGCUUUGGCGGACCAGUUCAGGCAGAUGAAUAGUCGUCUCUUCGCGAUACGGGGAAAGGCGAUGCCGGAAUGGUGGUGGGCCGAGGCCAGGAGCGACUACAACCACUUGGCCACCCUGACGCGGAGGGUGGACUCCCAUAUCUCAGGCAUCGUGCUUCUGUCCUUCGCCACCAAUCUGUAUUUCAUCUGUAUCCAACUGCUGUUCUCCUUCAAUCCAAUACGCGGCGUCGUACGGAAGAUCUACUUCUGCUUCUCCUUCGGCUUCCUGCUGGCCAGGACUGCAGCCGUGUCAUUAUACGCGGCUUCCGUUCACGACGAAUCUCUCCUGCCAGCACCGAUUCUGUACAGCGUUUCCGGUUCCAGCUACAGUAACGAGGUCUCGAGGUUCUUGACGCAAGUAACGACGGAUAAUAUAAGCCUAACGGGGAUGAAGUUCUUCUCCGUGACGAGAAGCCUCGUACUAACCGUCGCCGGAACCAUCGUGACCUACGAAUUGGUUCUGGUGCAGUUCAACUCCGUCCAGCAGGUGGACCAAUCGAACAUUACGAACGCUUGCGAGGUGAGGUAGACAGCUUGCGAAAGAGCUUUUAAGGGAUCUUGACCGUCUGUAUCCGCUUCCGCUUCUGCACAUCACACGCGUCUUGAAGAGUGCCAUGCAAUAUAGCGUGUUUUAUGGCAUUUUUACUCAAGAUAAGUAUGCAAGUUAUGCUGCGAUAGUUUUCUAUACAUAAGUCUCUACGAUUCUUACUUUCCUCUCUGUAAGUCGCAAUGCAUCUCGCGUUAUCAAUUUGUCAAUUUUCCCUCCGUGAUUUUAUUCCCUCUAAUCCGUUUUUGUUGUAGUUCUUCCAAGUUUAUUAGACCAACGUACAUUCCGGGGGGAAGGAUGUUGCACCGGCGUUCAGUGAUAUUGUUGCAAAAUACUGUAAUAUCACACAUGUACCGCUCCUUUGUGCAUCUAGCUCCGGAAAAUGCAUCAUCCGCAAGAAUCAGUCAAACUCACGCAUUUCCCGAUAUAUCACAAUAAUGAAUCCCAUGAAAUUCAAUGUAGCAAAAAUGUAUGCGUUAUCAAUCAUUUUUAUCUGUUUAUGUGUUUGUGCGUACCUCUGUUUUUGUACGUGCCGUUUGUAAGCGAUAAGAAGCUGAUAUUUAAAUAUGAUAUAAAUGUGUUAUUUCAACAAUACCUUGGCCGAAAAUAAAAAUGAUUUUACUAACAUAAGA